rnacentral:rRNA from 1 species
GUAGUCGUAUCGAUCGAUCGAUGCAUCCAUGCUAGCUAGCUGUCGUAGAUACUUUAGUUAUAGCUAGCUAGCGCAUGCUGAUGCUACUAGCGGCCAAGCUUGCUUCUAUGACGUUAGCGGCGGACGGGUGAGUAACACGGUGGGCAACCUGCCUGUAAGGAUCUUCUCCUCGGUCAUGGGAGAUGAUUGAAAGAUGGUUUCGGCUAUCACUUACAGAUGGGCCCGCGGUGCAGUUAGCUAGUUGGGUGAGGUAACGGCUCACCAAGGCAACGAUGCAUAGCCGACCUGAGAGGGUGAUCGGCCAGCACUGGGACUGACGGACACGGCCCAGACUCCUACGGGAGGCAGCAGUAGGGAAUCUUCCGCAAUGGACGAAACGGUCUGACGGAGGCCAACGCCGCGUGAGUGAUGAAGGCUUUCGGGUCGUAAAACUCUGUUGUUAGGGAAGAACGAAGUACAAGAGUGAACUGUCUUGUACCUUGACGGUACCUAACCAGAAAGCCACGGCUAAUUACGUGCCAGCCGAGCCGCGGUAAUAGGAACGUAGGUGGCCAAGCGUUAUCCGGAAUUAUUGGGCGUAAAGCGCGCGCAGGCGGUUUAGCUUAAGUCUGAUAGGUGAAAGCCCACGGCUCAACCGUGGAGGGUCAUUGGAAACUGGGGAACUUGAGUGCAGGAAAGAGAAAAGCGGGAAAUUCCACGUGUAGCGGUGAAAUGCGUAGAGAUGUGGAGGAACACCAGUGGCGAAGGGGACGGCUUUUUGGUACUGUAACUGACGCUGAGGCGCGAAAGCGUGGGGAGCAAACAGGAUUAGAUACCCUGGUAUAGUCCACGCCGUUAAAACGAUGAGUGCUAAGUGUUAGAGGGUUUCCGCCCUUUAGUGCUGCAGCUAACGCAUUAUAAGCACUCCGCAUUACUGGGGAGUACGGUCGCAAGACUGAAACUCAAAGGAAUUGACGGGGGCCCGCACAAGCUAGGUGGAGCAUGUUAGGUUUAAUUCGAAGCAACGCGAAGAACCUUACCAGGUCUUGACAUCCUCUGACAACUCAUUAGAGAUAGAGCUAGUUCCCCUUCCGGGGGACAGAGUGACAGGUGGUGCAUGGUUGUCGUCAGCUCGUGUCGUAUGAGAUGUUGGUAAUGUUAAGUCCCGCAACGAGCGCAACCCUUGAUCUUAGUUGCCAGCAUUUAGUUGGGCACUUCUAAGGUGACUGCCGGUGACAAACCGGAGGAAGGUGGGGAUGACGUCAAAUCAUCAUGCCCCUUAUGACCUGGGCUACACACGUGCUACAAUGGAUGGUACAAAGGGCUGCAAGACCGCGAGGUCAAGCCAAUCCCAUAAAACCAUUCUCAGUUCGGAUUGUAGGCUGCAACUCGCCUACAUGAAGCUGGAAUCGCUAGUAAUCGCGGAUCAGCAUGCCGCGGUGAAUACGAUCGAUCGUGCUAACGUGACUCAGUACGUGACUUACGAC